GAUGAACGCUAGCUACAGGCUUAACACAUGCAAGUCGAGGGACCGGCGCACGGGUGAGUAACACGUAUCCAACCUGCCCUUUACUCGGGGAUAGCCUUUCGAAAGAAAGAUUAAUACCCGAUAUAAAGGAUGGGGAUGCGUUCCAUUAGGUUGUUGGUGAGGUAACGGCUCACCAAGCCUUCGAUGGAUAGGGGUUCUGAGAGGAAGGUCCCCCACAUUUGAACUGAGGCACGGUCCAAACUCCGACGGGACGCAGCAGUACGGAAGAUUGGGGAAUGGGCGCUAGCCUGAACCAGCCAAGUAGCGUGAAGGAGGAUGGGUUAUGGGUCGUAAACUUCUUGUAUAGAAGAAUAUGUAUUAUAUGAAGAAGGAUCGGCUAACUCCGUGCCAGCAGCCGCGGUAAUAC
rnacentral:rRNA from 1 species